GACGUAAGGUGCAAGCGUUAUCCGGAUUUACUGGGCGUAAAGGGCGUCUAGGCGGUUUUGUAAGUCAGAGGUGAAAAGUCGGGGCUCAACCCCGGCCUUGCCUUUGAAACUACAGAACUAGAGUACGGGAGAGGAGGGCGGAACUACAAGUGUAGCGGUGAAAUGCGUAGAUAUUUGUAGGAAUGCCAAUGACGAAGGUAGCUCUCUGGACCGAUACUGACGCUGAAGCGCGAAAGCUAGGGUAGCAAACAGG
rnacentral:rRNA from 1 species